rnacentral:rRNA from 1 species
UACGUAGGGGGCUAGCGUUGUCCGGAAUCAUUGGGCGUAAAGCGCGCGUAGGUGGCCCCAUAAGUCCGCUGUGAAAGUCAAAGGCUCAACCUUUGAAAGCCGGUGGAUACUGUGGGACUAGAGUACGGAAGAGGCGAGUGGAAUUCCCGGUGUAGCGGUGGAAUGCGCAGAUAUCAGGAGGAACACCAAUAGCGAAGGCAGCUCGCUGGGACGUUACUGACACUGAGGCGCGAAAGCGUGGGGAGCGAACAGG